AGAGUUUGAUCCUGGCUCAGAUUGAACGCUGAGCGGCAUGCUCAAGCACAGUAGCAAGUCGAACGGCAGCAUGAUAUGUAGCAGAUACAUAUCCGAUGGCGAGUGGCGGACGGGUGAGUAAUACAUAGGAGAAUCUGCCCUAUAGUGGGGGACAACCCGGGGAAACCCGGGCUAAUACCGCAUAAUCAUUACGAUGAAAAGUUGGGGGACCGUAAGGCCUCACGCUAAAGGAUGAGCCUAUGUCAGAUUAGCUUGGUUGGUGGGGUAAAGGCCCACCAAGGCCAAUGAUCUGUAGCUGGUUCUGACAGGACGACCAGCCACACUGGGACUGAGACACGGCCCAGACUCCUACGGGAGGCAGCAGUGGGGAAUAUGGGACAAUGGGGGCAACCCUGAUCCAGCAAUGCCGCGUGUGUGAAGAAGGCCUUCGGGUUGUAAA
rnacentral:rRNA from 1 species